UACGUAGGGUGCAAGCGUUGUCCGGAAUUAUUGGGCGUAAAGAGCUCGUAGGCGGUCUGUCGCGUCUGCUGUGAAAACCUGGGGCUUAACCCCGGGCCUGCAGUGGGUACGGGCAGACUAGAGUGUGGUAGGGGAGACUGGAAUUCCUGGUGUAGCGGUGAAAUGCGCAGAUAUCAGGAGGAACAUCGGUGGCGAAGGCGGGUCUCUGGGCCGUAACUGACGCUGAGGAGCGAAAGCGUGGGGAGCGAACAGG
rnacentral:rRNA from 1 species